AAGACCUUGCGCUUUUGGAGCGGCCGAUGUCUGAUUAGCUAGUUGGUGGGGUAAUGGCCUACCAAAGCUUCGAUCAGUAGCUGGUCUGAGAGGACGGCCAGCCACACUGGGACUGAGACACGGCCCAGACUCCUACGGGAGGCAGCAGUGGGGAAUUUUGGACAAUGGGCGCAAGCCUGAUCCAGCCAUGCCGCGUGAGUGAAGAAGGCCUUCGGGUUGUAAAGCUCUUUCAGCCGGGAAGAAAAGGCUGCGACUAAUAAUCGCAGUUCAUGACAGUACCGGAAGAAGAAGCACCGGCUAACUACGUGCCAGCAGCCGCGGUAAUACGUAGGGUGUGAGCGUUAAUCGGAAUUACUGGGCGUAAAGGGUGCGCAGGCGGUUUUGUAAGUCAGAUGUGAAAUCCCCGGGCUUAACCUGGGAACU
rnacentral:rRNA from 1 species